rnacentral:rRNA from 1 species
AUGCCGCCGUCGCCGGCAGGCAGUACCCAAACCCUAACCCCACAGCACGUCGCCGAUAGCCAGCCAGCAAUGGAAAAUCUCCCCGAUGAAUUGCUCGCGGACAUCCUCCGCAGUUUUCCUCCACGGAGUCUCGCGGUGUGCCGGAGCGUCUCCAAGCACUGGUGCGCUGUCGUCGAUGCCCGCGGGCUGCUCCUCGCGGUCGCGCAUCAAGUUCCGUGCUCUCUGCACGGCAUCUACGUUAACUACGCCAUGAUGCGAAGGUCCGGAUUCUUCUCCCGCGUCGCUCCGCGGACUACUAGCCCAAUCGAUGGCAUGCUCAGUUUCCUGCCUGGCCAGCUGAUGCGCUAUCGUAGCGUCCUGGACCACCGCAACGGUCUCCUCCUGUACGAAAACAGUCAGGGGAUGUAUGUGUGCAACCCAGCGACACGACGGUGGGCGACCCUGUCGGAGCCGCCGCGCACGGAAACUUCCUACAGCCACCUGUUUUUCUACCGCCAUCGUAUGUACCUAAUGUUCGAUCCAACUAUGUCUCUGCACUACAAUGUAUUAUUCUUCCCUGAUGUGCCUGAGAAGCCAAAGCCACCCCAUCUUCAACCUGGUGAGUCACAAAUUUCAAGAGCAGAUUACGAGCAUGAGCGUAACUCUUUGGGAUCAAUGGAAUGGCCACCAUACAUCUACCCACUGCAAGUGUUCUCGUCAAAAACUGGGCGGUGGGAAGAGAAACAAUUUAUUCGUGAAGGUGAUGCAGCAGUUACUGUGUCGGAUGUGUGGUUAGAUGCAUUGGCACCAAGUAGCAGCCGCAACUCGCUUCAACGACAUGCAGUCCACUGGCGAGCUUCGUUUUAUGUACAUUGUGACUCUGGUUUCAUCAUGAGGUUGUCAUUGGAAAAACAAAACUAUCUAGUGAUCAAAACCCCCAAACUAGAUACCACUGGGUUUGGUGUCGAUGCAACUGGGCGCGAGACACAUCUUACGACAUACGGGUAUUUGGGUAAAUCCAAGCAUGGUGUCUAUUACACCACUUUGUGUGGAUACACACUUCAAGUGUGGGUAUUGUGCAAAACAUUAGAAUCAUGUCAAACACCGGAGUGGGAGCUGAAGCAUCAAGCUAACCUUACAAAUUUAAAUCUACACCAUGACCAACACUUAAGAGGAUAA